UACGUAGGGUGCAAGCGUUGUCCGGAAUUAUUGGGCGUAAAGAGCUCGUAGGCGGUUUGUCGCGUCUGCUGUGAAAUCUGGAGGCUCAACCUCCAGCCUGCGGUGGGUACGGGCAGACUAGAGUGCGGUAGGGGAGAUUGGAACUCCUGGUGUAGCGGUGGAAUGCGCAGAUAUCAGGAAGAACACCGAUGGCGAAGGCAGAUCUCUGGGCCGUAACUGACGCUGAGGAGCGAAAGCAUGGGGAGCGAACAGG
rnacentral:rRNA from 1 species